GGCCUAACACAUGCAAGUCGAACGGUAACAGGUCUUCGGACGCUGACGAGUGGCGAACGGGUGAGUAAUACAUCGGAACGUGCCCAGUCGUGGGGGAUAACUACUCGAAAGAGUAGCUAAUACCGCAUACGAUCUGAGGAUGAAAGCGGGGGACCUUCGGGCCUCGCGCGAUUGGAGCGGCCGAUGGCAGAUUAGGUAGUUGGUGGGAUAAAAGCUUACCAAGCCGACGAUCUGUAGCUGGUCUGAGAGGACGACCAGCCACACUGGGACUGAGACACGGCCCAGACUCCUACGGGAGGCAGCAGUGGGGAAUUUUGGACAAUGGGCGA
rnacentral:rRNA from 1 species